rnacentral:rRNA from 1 species
AUUGAACGCUGGCGGCAUGCUUUACACAUGCAAGUCGAACGGCAGCGCGGGCUUCGGCCUGUCGUCGAGUGGCGAACGGGUGAGUAAUGCAUCGGAACGUGCCCAGUAGUGGGGGAUAGCCCGGCGAAAGCCGGAUUAAUACCGCAUACGACCUGGGGGUGAAAGCGGGGGACCGAAAGGCCUCGCGCUAUUGGAGCGGCCGAUGUCGGAUUAGCUAGUUGGUGGGGUAAAGGCUUACCAGGGCGACGAUCCGUAGCUGGUCUGAGAGGACGACCAGCCACACUGGGACUGAGACACGGCCCAGACUCCUACGGGAGGCAGCAGUGGGGAAUUUUGGACAAUGGGGGCAACCCUGAUCCAGCUAUGCCGCGUGCGGGAAGAAGGCCUUCGGGUUGUAAACCGCUUUUGUUCGGGAAGAAAUCCUCUGGGCUAAUACCCCGGGGGGAUGACGGUACCGGAAGAAUAAGCACCGGCUAACUACGUG